rnacentral:rRNA from 2 species
UGGCUCAGGAUGAACGCUAGCGGCAGGCCUAACACAUGCAAGUCGAGGGGCAGCACGGAUUGCUUGCAAUCUGGUGGCGACCGGCGCACGGGUGCGUAACGCGUAUGCAACCUACCUCUUACUGGGGGAUAGCCUCUAGAAAUGGAGAUUAACACCCCAUAAUAUAUAUAGUCCUCCUGGGCAUUAUAUUAAAGGUUACGGUAAGAGAUGGGCAUGCGUCCUAUUAGCUGGUUGGUGCGGUAACGGCGCACCAAGGCGACGAUAGGUAGGGGCCCUGAGAGGGGGAUCCCCCACACUGGUACUGAGACACGGACCAGACUCCUACGGGAGGCAGCAGUGAGGAAUAUUGGACAAUGGGGGGAACCCUGAUCCAGCCAUGCCGCGUGCAGGAAGACUGCCCUAUGGGUUGUAAACUGCUUUUGUACGGGAAGAAACACUCCUACGUGUAGGAGCUUGACGGUACCGUAAGAAUAAGGAUCGGCUAACUCCGUGCCAGCAGCCGCGGUAAUACGGAGGAUCCGAGCGUUAUCCGGAAUCAUUGGGUUUAAAGGGUCCGUAGGUGGGCCGGUCAGUCAGAGGUGAAAUCCCGCGGCUCAACCGUGGAACUGCCUUUGAUACUGCCGGUCUUGAAUUACUGUGAAGUGGCUAGAAUAUGUAGUGUAGCGGUGAAAUGCAUAGAUAUUACAUAGAAUACCGAUUGCGAAGGCAGGUCACUAACAGUAUAUUGACACUGAUGGACGAAAGCGUGGGUAGCGAACGGGAUUAGAUACCCCGGUAGUCCACGCCGUAAACGAUGGAUACUAGCUGUCCGGCUUCGGCUGGGUGGCUAAGCGAAAGUGAUAAGUAUCCCACCUGGGGAGUACGUUCGCAAGAAUGAAACUCAAAGGAAUUGACGGGGGCCCGCACAAGCGGUGGAGCAUGUGGUUUAAUUCGAUGAUACGCGAGGAACCUUACCAGGGCUUAAAUGUAGUGGGACAGAUCCAGAGAUGGAUCCUUCUUCGGACUCAUUACAAGGUGCUGCAUGGUUGUCGUCAGCUCGUGCCGUGAGGUGUCAGGUUAAGUCCUAUAACGAGCGCAACCCCUGUUGUUAGUUGCCAGCGAGUAAAGUCGGGAACUCUAGCAAGACUGCCGGUGCAAACCGCGAGGAAGGUGGGGAUGACGUCAAAUCAUCACGGCCCUUACGUCCUGGGCUACACACGUGCUACAAUGGUAGGGACAGAGAGCAGCCACUGGGCGACCAGGAGCGAAUCUAUAAACCCUAUCACAGUUCGGAUCGGAGUCUGCAACUCGACUCCGUGAAGCUGGAAUCGCUAGUAAUCGGAUAUCAGCCAUGAUCCGGUGAAUACGUUCCCGGGCCUUGUACACACCGCCCGUCAAGCCAUGGAAGCUGGGAGUGCCUGAAGUCCGUCACCGCAAGGAGCGGCCUAGGGUAAAAUCGGUAACUAGGGCUA